CCUCCUCGAUCUGCUGCGGGCAGAUCCAGUGGAUGUGCGUGUCGAUGCCGCCGGCGGUGACGAUCAGGCCCUCGCCGGCGAUGACCUCGGUGCCGGGGCCGAUGACGAUGUCGAUGCCCGGCUGCACGUCCGGGUUGCCGGCCUUGCCGAUGGCGGCGAUGCGCGAGCCCCGCAGGCCGAUGUCGGCCUUGACGAUGCCCCAGUGGUCGAGGAUCAGCGCGUUGGUGAUGACGCAGUCCACCGCGUCGCCGGGGCCGGGGCCGUUGGGGCGCUGGCUCUGGCCCAUGCCGUCGCGGAUG
rfam:Sphaerotilus natans subsp. natans DSM 6575 X805_27, whole genome shotgun sequence.